rnacentral:misc_RNA from 1 species
UAGAUGGUGUUGUAGCUUGUGCUAUAGCCCUAAUCAUACCCCAUGUCUUUUGCGUACUUCUUGUUUCCUCGGCGGGUUACUCCGCCGGCUGGACAACUUAUAACCCUUUGUAUUUGCACUCAGCGUCUGAAAAUAUAAUAAUUACAACUUUCAACAACGGAUCUCUUGGUUCU